rnacentral:rRNA from 1 species
UACGUAGGGGGCAAGCGUUGUCCGGAUUUAUUGGGCGUAAAGAGCGUGUAGGCGGCCAGACAGGUCCGUUGUGAAAACUCGAGGCUCAACCUCGAGACGCCGAUGGAAACCGUUUGGCUAGAGUCCGGAAGAGGCGAGUGGAAUUCCUGGUGUAGCGGUGGAAUGCGCAGAUAUCAGGAGGAACACCAAUAGCGAAGGCAGCUCGCUGGGACGGUACUGACGCUAAGGCGCGAAAGCGUGGGGAGCGAACAGG